GACGAACGCUGGCGGCGUGCUUAACACAUGCAAGUCGAACGAAGUGGCGAACGGGUGAGUAACGCGUAAUCAACCUGCCCUUCAGAGGGGGACAACAGUUGGAAACGACUGCUAAUACCGCAUACUGAUGGAGGGGAUUGUGUUUGUGUAGCUAGUUGGAGGGGUAACGCCCCACCAAGGCGAUGAUCAGUAGCCGGUCUGGGAGGAGGAGCGGCCACAUUGGGACUGGGACCCGGCACAGACUCCCAGGGGAAGCAGCAGUAGGGAAUCUUCCGGAAGGGACGGAAAACUGGCGGAGCAACGCCGCGUGAUGGAUGACGGCCUUCGGGUUGUAAAGCUCUGUUAAUCGGGACGCGGUACCGGAAUAGAAAGCAACGGCUAACUACGUGCCAGCAGCCGCGGUAAUAC
rnacentral:rRNA from 1 species